rnacentral:rRNA from 1 species
AGUGAACGCUGGCGGUAGGCCUAACACAUGCAAGUCGAACGGCAGCACAGUAAGAGCUUGCUCUUACGGGUGGCGAGUGGCGGACGAGUGAGGAAUACAUCGGAAUCUACUUUUUCGUGGGGGAUAACGUAGGGAAACUUACGCUAAUACCGCAUACGACCUACGGGUGAAAGCAGGGGAUCUUCGGACCUUGCGCGAUUGAAUGAGCCGAUGUCGGAUUAGCUAGUUGGCGGGGUAAAGGCCCACCAAGGCGACGAUCCGUAGCUGGUCUGAGAGGAUGAUCAGCCACACUGGAACUGGAACACGGUCCAGACUCCUACGGGAGGCAGCAGUGGGGAAUAUUGGACAAUGGGCGCAAGCCUGAUCCAGCCAUACCGCGUGGGUGAAGAAGGCCUUCGGGUUGUAAAGCCCUUUUGUUGGGAAAGAAAAGCAGCAGGUUAAUACCCCGCUGUUCUGACGGUACCCAAAGAAUAAGCACCGGCUAACUUCGUG